rfam:Heterocephalus glaber contig207444, whole genome shotgun sequence.
AGAUGUGAGGGUGAUCUGGCUGCGACAUCUGUCAUGCCAUUGAUCAUCAGGGUUGAUUCAGCUGAUCUGGCUAGCUAGGCGGGUGUCUCCUUCCUCCCUCACCACUCCACGUGCAUCCCUCUGGAAGCUGCUUUGGUCUAAGAGACCAACCACCCCCGACAGAUGACCACAGUCAAGGGUAUAUGAGUAGCUGUGCUCCCCUGCAGAACCUUCAAAUAAGCUCUCAAGACAGUCUCCACUCCGAAGAAUGAUCAGGCCCCAAAAUGUUAAUAGGGCUGAAGUUGAAUACCCUUCUGU